GAGGGUAUAUCUCAGUGGUAGAGCAGCUGCUUGGCAUGCAUGAGGUCCUGGGUUCAGUCCCCAGUCCCUCCA
rnacentral:tRNA from 1 species